rnacentral:lncRNA from 10 species
CCACUGGGAAGUUAUUCAACAGCUGGAGAUUAAAAGCUGAAAAAACGAGGUUUGAGGAAAGUUAUGGGUCCUAGGCCUCUAAUUCUCAUGGAAUUUUAAGGGAAACUCCAGGAACAGCAAUAGGAUGAGUAGACACGAGUUCUACAAAACUGGUGCAGCCUGGUUAGCAAGACUGCACACAAACGACAUACCUUUGCUAUCAAAUUAUUAUCUAUCUUACUAUUCCAACGGAUUAUAAAGCUAUGAAUUACUUAUUAUGACCCUUUUCUGCUCUCCUAGAGGUAUCAAAGGUGACUAUUUGACAGCAAAAAUGGUCCAAAAAGGAAUUCUAGAGGAGUCAGCAUAGCAAGCCCUGUUACUUCUAACAUACACAUAUGUGAAGGUGAUAUUACCUUCUGAAGAGCAGAGUUUGUGAAGUACUGUCUUAUGCGGAAGAGUGCCAGGGGAGACCCAAGAAUCUGGCUCGUGCUGAGCAAAAGGACAUGGAUACCCAUGUAAGCGUCACAGCAAAGGGGAAGACCCUUGAAGAGAGAGAAUGGAAUGGCCACCCUUAUCCUGCCCAAGUCUCCAAAGGAUGAUGUUCCACCCUGUGUCCACAGGUCCUGAUUUAGGAAUACAGCUGACAGCAACACAAAAUGGAUGAAGAGAGGUGCUUGGCUUAGAAAUACAAAUACGAGUGAGAGCAGAAGGACCUGAGUCCUUGACUGCAACUCCCUUGAAAGACUGCAAUUCACUGGCUGUGGCCAAAUUUAAUGGAGAAGGCAGCUUUUCCCCAGGAGGUCUCCCAGGUAAGGCCUUUGUAAUUGCCUAGGAUUUGGCUUGAUAAAUCAUUUACAUAGGAGUUUGGCCAGGAAUCAGAUUCCUUAUACUGAGCUCUGUAUCUGGCAAAAAUACCUUCUCCAUAAGGUCACUAUGAGAAUAAAAUAAAAUAAAUUAAAAUUAACACAGCAAUUAUAAUAGUGCCUAGCACAAAGUUAACGCUAUAUUUAUUUAUUUAUUUUUAACUAAGCAAAUGCAAUAGCAAGUGCUCAAUAAAUGUUAGCUAUUUGGGAAUUAUCCAGAAUCUGACUAUGUAUCUCUACCCUUCCACUCUGGUCCAAACUAUCCCUAGAUGAUUGCAAUAGGGGUAGAAAAUACACAAGAAUAUUCACCACUGAGUACAUGAAAAAAGAAAGGUGAUUUUUUUUCUCCUUGAAAUUCAGUAAUUUUCUCAACAAAUAAAGGAUAAUUGAAUUCAAAUGUUACCAUUUUGCAGCUCCGAUAAUUAAUGGAAACUACUCAUUGAUCAUCAACAGCUGCUAACAUCACAAAAAGAAAGGUAAACAGAAGUUAUGUAACUCCUGAAGGAAAAACACAUCACCUGCUACCUUGCCAAAAAAAUUAAACCUGUAUCUUAUCAGGUAUCUAGAACUAAUAAUUAAUUUACAGGGAAUGCAGAGAAGAGAGGAACCCACUAAUUGACAUCAUGGAGAGGCAAUUAACAAAAUCUAGACCUUGGGAAACUCACAGGACAAACAAUCUAGUUUCUGCAAUAUGCAUUUUAAGGUCAGUUAUGGAGUGGGAACCUGCAGAUUAAAAUAGAUUUAAGACAUAAAUAACUAAUUAUAUUACAUAAUUCUAAUUUGGAUAGUUAUAUAAACAAGCUGUGACAAAGAAAAAAUGUAUUUACAACACACACAUACACACACACACAAUUUCAGCAACCUAGGCAUAGAAUAUUAACUUCCCCAGUCAACGGCCCCACAAUAUAACCACUAUUCUAACCUCUAUCACCAUAGUGCUUUGCCUCUUCUUGACCAUUUUAUGGACGAAAUGAUAUAUGUGUAUGGUUUCUUUUUGCUUAACAGUAUGUCUGUGACGUUCAGUUGUAUUAUUGGCAUGUAACAGCAGUUCAUUUAAAGCAAUAUAUUUUGAAAAUCUGUAUGAACAUAAGGUGUUACCCAUUAGAGAAAUGAUGUAUUUAGCAUUUAAAAAAUCACUCAACACAUAUGCAAUAACUUAUAAAACUUGGUCCUUGCAAGAGAUGUAAAAUUUAAUGAUAUGGAGCUCCUCCUUAUGCAAAGCAUUUUUCUAGGUUUAAUAUAUAAAUAACUACAUUACAUAACUUACUUGGAUAAUUAUACAAACAAGCUGUAACAAAGAAAAAAUGCAUUUAACUCACACACACUCAAACAAUUUCACAUAAGAAAUGCGGGAUAAAAAAUGCGACCUUAACUCUCCAGAAAUUUAUAAUCUAACUGGGGAGACAAUCCAUAGGCAAGAAAAACACCCGACAUUUAAUAAUUCAAAGGAUCAAUAGAAGAAUGUCACAGGUAAAAUGUGAUUCAUUCACAUACUGUACAGUUCAUCAUCGUUACUAGAUUUCAGGCCGGGCGCGGCGGCUCACGCCUGUAAUCCUAGCACUUUGGGAGGCCGAGGAGGGUGGAUCACUUGAAGUCAGCCUGGCCAACAUGGUGAAACCUGUCUCUACUAAAAAUACAAAAAAAUUAACCGUGAGUGGUGGCAGGCACCUGUAAUCCCAGCUACUCACGAGGCUGAGGCAGGGGAAUCCCUUGAACCCGGGAGGAGGAGGUUGCAGUGAGCAGAAAUCGCGCCACUGCACUCCAUCCAGCCUGGGAGACAGAGUGAGACUCCGUCUCAAAAAAAAAAAAAAAAAAAAAAAAAAGAGUUCACAAAAGGAAUAAAUCAAUGUAGCUGCUGUGGGCCAAAUUUAUGGAGAAAAUGGAAUUUAGGCUCGAUCUUGGAAGAAGAAUUAAAUCCAGAAAAGCAAAAGAAGAAGGAUAGUCCAGGUGGGAGAAUGGUGCAUAAAAGCUUUGAUAAAUUUUAGAGAAAGUAAUUAAAUCAACUUAGCUGUGUUGAGGGGGGCAGUAUUUGUGCAUUUAUUUCCAGUUUUGCUACAGUAUAAUUGAUAUAAAAUACAUUUUACAUAUUUAAAGUAAUACAAUUUAAUAUAUAAAUAUGUGUAUUUCUGUGAAACCACUACCACAAUCAAGAUAAUAUUUAUCACCAUCAAAAGUUUUCUCACAUCCCAUAGCAACGCCUCACUUUCACUCUCUCUUCAUCUUGGUUGCUUCUCUAAGUAUAACUGUUAGAGAUGCAUAUGUGUUGCUGCAAGUAUCAAUUGGUUAUUAUUUUUAUUGCCAGCUACAAUUGUAAUGUUUGGAUAUACCACAAUUUGUUUAUCCAUUCACCUGUUGAUGAACCUUUGGGUUAUUUCUAGUUUUGGGGUAAUACAAAUAGAUUUGUUAUAAGCAUUCAUGUGCAAAUCUUUGUAGAAAAAUAUAUUUUCAUUUAUCUUAGGUAAAUAUCACAAAGUGGAAUAGCUGGAUUUUAUGUUUUUUUUUUUUUUAAAGAAGCUACCAUGCUGGGGGCCAGUGGCUCACACCUGUAAUCCUAUCACUUUGGGAGGCGAAUCUUUUGAGCCCAGGAGUUCAAGAGCAACCUGGACAACAUACAGAGACCCCAUCUCUACAAAAAAAUACAAAAAUUAGCCAGAUGAGCUGGCGUGUGUGUGUAGCUACUUUGGAGGUUGAAGUGGGAGGAUUGCUUGAGCCUGGGAGGCCAAGGCUGCAGUGAGCUGUGAUUGCACCACUCCACUCCAGCCUCUACAGUCUAGGCAACAGAGACCCUGUCUCAAAACGAAACAAAACAAGCAAAAAAGAAACUGUCAAAUGGGGUUUCAAAGUUGUACUAUUUUACAUUCACACCAGCAGUGAACUAAAGAACUAAACGUUCCACAUCCUCGUUCAUAUUUGGUAAGGUGUAUCCAUUUCGAGUUAAUUUUUGUACAUUGAUGAAGGAGGACCGGGCAGCCUUUUCUGGAGAGCAACCUCAGCCAAGGAGCGGAUGCCAUAAUUGCUUUCCCUUUUACCUCACCACUGGGACAGCUCUGAACACUUUAUAGAGUUUGCUCCCUCAAGCUUGCAUUCCUUACUUCUCAUAGAAGCAAAAUACUGCAUUUCUUUUGAUCUCAUAGAAAUGAAAAGGACUCUCUACGCCAUGGCUUUUGGUCUUGGUUUCUGUUUCUUUGAAUUUGGCUCCUUGGUGGGGUCCUGGGGAUACUUGCACUUCACUAUUGUUCAAGCUUUCAACUGAACUUAGAGAAACCUUGAGAUAUCUGAUAAUCUAGAAAACAUCUGGUCAUUUCUUCUUUCAUAAGUCCUUGCAUUUCUGUUGGAGUGGAAUUACUGGAUUAUGAGGUAUGAACAUGCUCAGUUUUAGCAGAUACUGCCAGUUUUCCAAAGUGGUUAUAUGCUUCACACUUCCACCAGCAAUGAGUUCCAGUUGUUCCACAUCCUCAUCAGCAAUGUUAUUGUAAUGAAUAUACUCUCCAGUAGAAACGUUAUUGUUUUGCCUUUCACAAAGAUCUACAAUCCACCUGAAAUACAUAUUUGCAUGUACUCUGACGUAGAGAAUGUUUCAUUUUGUCCACGUGUAUCCAAUUGUCCCAGCAGUACUUAUUAAAAAGAUUAUCGUUUUUCCAUGGUUGUAUAGUGCCACCUUUGUCUUAACUCUAUAGUCCACAUAUGUAGACUCUACUUUUUUUCCCUUGGUUAUCUUUGAUUCCUUGAGAAAAUAUCAU